rnacentral:rRNA from 1 species
CCUACGGGGGGCAGCAGUGGGGAAUAUUGGACAAUGGGGGGAACCCUGAUCCAGCCAUGCCGCGUGUGUGAAGAAGGCCCUCGGGUUGUAAAGCACUUUCAGUGAGGAAGAACGCCUGGUGGUUAAUACCCAUCAGGAAAGACAUCACUCACAGAAGAAGCACCGGCUAACUCCGUGCCAGCAGCCGCGGUAAUACGGAGGGUGCGAGCGUUAAUCGGAAUUACUGGGCGUAAAGCGCGCGUAGGUGACUUGAUAAGCCGGUUGUGAAAGCCCCGGGCUCAACCUGGGAACGGCAUCCGGAACUGUCAAGCUAGAGUGCAGGAGAGGAAGGUAGAAUUCCCGGUGUAGCGGUGAAAUGCGUAGAGAUCGGGAGGAAUACCAGUGGCGAAGGCGGCCUUCUGGACUGACACUGACACUGGGGUGCGAAAGCGUGGGUAGCAAACAGGAUUAGAUACCCUGGUAGUC